rnacentral:rRNA from 1 species
AACGAACGCUGGCGGCAGGCUUAACACAUGCAAGUCGAACGCCCCGCAAGGGGAGUGGCGCACGGGUGAGUAACACGUGGGAACAUGCCCUCUAGUACGGAACAACGUCGGGAAACUGACGCUAAUACCGUAUAAUAUCUACGGAUCAAAGAUUUAUCGGAAAAGGAUCGGCCCGCGUUGGAUUAGCUAGUUGGUGGGGU